UUAACAAUUUGUGGUAGGUGAAAUUAUAAUGUAGACGGAGAAAUAAAACAUUAGGGUGGCUCUAGUAGCAAUUCAAAAUAAUUGUUUCGUAUCUCUUUAUCUCGGCUUCUGUACAGUGAAAGUGCAGUCUUGCCCUUCGAUUCCUCCAUCAUCGGAGGAUGUUUUGGCUCUAGUUGUUCUGGAUCUUUCGUUUGGUUUCGGCUAUUCUCUCUCACAUAUCUCCAAUUCCUUUGUUUUUCGCCGUCCGUUUUUCUCCGCCUUGACUUCUGUUUUCUUCAUCGUCUUGCGUCGUUGUUGAAAAUAUUGACCGUUUUCCUUAGUUGUUCUUCGAUUAGAUGCAUCUAAUUGGAGGAGGAUGCUCGAGUUCGUCUUCUGAUUCUCACGAAGAUAAAGAAAAGUUUCAGGAAAAAUCUUGGUACGUAGUUCUGGUGAGAAUUUUACACCUAUAGGCUCUCAGCUAAAAACCCAAUGCUGGUGAUUAUCCAUUUAUUCUCCAACCUGGAAAUGGUCAGAAAUCAGAAUGGCGAAAAAUGAGGGAGAAAGGUGCUUUGUUGCUGGAAAAACUACUGAACCAGUAGAACUUUCCUCGGUUCUUCAAUUCAAUUCGAAUAAUUUUUUUUACCCAGAAACGCUAACGUUUCCUGGUGAGUUUUAUAGCUUUCUCAGUGUGGGUGUUUCAAUUUCGUUUAUGUGAUUUUGGAUUUGCAAAUUUGGUUUCUGUUCAAAUUUCCUUUUGUGAUUUUGGAGGGUUUUGUUUAUCGAUUAUCUCACUCAGCUCUCUUUCUCACUUUUCUGCUAGAUGUCAAUGUUUUCAAAAGGCGUAAUGCUACUAUUCAUAUGUUUUUGUACACAUUUUCAUACUAUCGUAGCUAGUACUUGAUGUAGACAAUUAUAUUAUUUGAAUUAAUCAAAUGUUUAAAUUGAAUUCAUUAUUUAAUAAACUAAUAAUUAAUAAAAAGUAGUUACUUAAAUAAUAAUUGUGGUAUACUAAGAAUUUUUCUUUUUCUUGAAUUUUGUAAAUUUUUCAAAUGAACAACAGAUAUUAUUUAAAUUAAUAUAUAAUUAUGAUAUAAAAAUACGAAACGAAUAACAUUAUUCUUUUAAAAGUGGUAAAAAACUUUUCUUAUAGAUGUCAAUGUUUUCAAAAGUGGCAGAAAGCAGAGUGUGACAGAAGGCACAGUGUGACAGCCGUGACAGCCUCUUCCUAGCCGAAGGCUCUGUGUGUGUGUGUGAGCAUACAAAAGUAAAGUUGUGUGAAAUUGUCAAAAGUUGAAGGGAGGAUGAUUCUUUAUAUUCUUAAUUUUUUUAUUUUUUUCAUGUUUUUUAUUUGAACGAUCAUAGUUAAGUUAUGUCAACAUCUUAUAUUAAUUUUUUUAUAAAGAUAAUAAAAUAAAAAGUAAUAUGUGAAAUGAAGAGAUAGAAGGGGAUAAGAAUAAAAAAAUAGAGAAUCCUCCUUCCUUCUUUUUAUGUUUUUGCGUGUAUUAGUCUUUGUGUUUUACAUUGCAGGCAUCAUUUUCCAAUUAUUGUUGCCUAUUCAAUUUAUUUGAUUCAUAAACAUUAGUGGACAUUUAUAUUAUUGGACUAUCUGUCAUAGGAAAAUUGUUGUCUGGCAGAAACUACUUAAAUAAACUCACAUCUAAUCUUUUUGGCAUUCGUAAAAAAACAAAUCUGCAAUCUUUUUUCCAUGUAAAAAUCUUCUUAAUGUUUUCAAAAUAAAUAAUAUUAAUCUUUUAUAUUUUUCAGACAAUCUUUCAUAUAAUUUUUGAUCCCGUAACAAUGCAUAGGUACCAAUUUUUAGUAAAUACUAAAGGGCUCCAUUUUCCGUAGUUAUUAUGUUUGCGCAAACAAGCUCAUGCUACAAAACCCUAACAUGAGGUUGAGGGAGCUUUAUCAUUCAGCUUUUCUCUCUUCUCUCACACUUCAUAUAUUAAUUUUUUGAGUUUACUUUAUGGAGAUUGCAUAUUCGAUUGAACUGAAUCAAAUCUUACACUCAAAUAAAACAAAAUACUACUAUAGGUGA